rnacentral:rRNA from 1 species
UACGGAGGGGGCUAGCGUUGUUCGGAAUUACUGGGCGUAAAGCGCGCGUAGGCGGCUUUGUAAGUUAGAGGUGAAAGCCCGGAGCUCAACUCCGGAACUGCCUUUAAGACUGCAUCGCUAGAAUCAUGGAGAGGUGAGUGGAAUUCCGAGUGUAGAGGUGAAAUUCGUAGAUAUUCGGAAGAACACCAGUGGCGAAGGCGACUCACUGGACAUGUAUUGACGCUGAGGUGCGAAAGCGUGGGGAGCAAACGGG